GCCGAGCGCGGCCGAGCUCGAACGUCGGCCGAGCGUUCGUCGUUCGAAGCUAGUGGCUCAGUGCAUGCACAGCGGCCGGCCGGCGUGCAUAGUCGGUGAUAACGGCAGUGCGCUUCCGGCCCCUUUACUCUCUCUUUUUCCUUUGGGGGAUAUUCCUCUUUCUUUCUCUCUUUUUUUUUUUAUUGCCACACUUGCUUCGUACGAAAACGUGUACGACGCAACAAGCAUUAAGAGAGGCACCCUCGUGCUCGAGCCGACGUAGCCACCGGGCCUCGGGGCCCGGGGGCCAACCCGUAACACGCGGUUAUGGAGCUCCUAGGCUCGUCCCGGUGCGGAAGCAGCUACGAUAUCUGUGCGCGGGCGUUACCCCGUCGUUCUUCUCUCGCGUACUAGUUGUAUAGAAACUCCGCCGCGGCGACAACCAGGCCCUCCACACUCCGCUAAAGGUACCGCAUCCAGGAUAUCGUUACUCGCGUUUCUCUUCUACGAUGGACACCUCUUAUCUCUCUUACGUGGUGCUCAUCGACAAUGGGAUUUUCUGAGACUUUAUACAAAAGACUUUGAAAUCGGGUUGUAAUCAAUUAGAAGAGGAGUUACCGACGUUGUUCCAUCUUUCCUUUAUUUUCGGGUGAUAUUUCAGAGUGGGUGCAUUUAUACUAUUUUAAAAACAAUUAUCGUGUUUCUCAAAUCAUCGUACACAAUGAUAAAUAAGCGAUCACGAUCAUUGAUCGAAUGUUAAUCCGCUAAAUUUUUCUCGAGUUGAAAUCUCGUGAAAAGUGUUUCUUCGCAAUGACACCCGUUCCCUUCCAUUUCACCGCGAGAUUUGAUCGUAAACGACGAGACGAUAGGAAACACGGAAACGAACACACGCAAUCAUGGUCCUCCCUUUUCUCUCCUCCUUGCUCACUCUUUUUCUCGUCUUUUUCACCAUUUUUCUCGUGGCUCGUACACUCUUUGAAAGCGCACUCUCGCCACGCGGUUAUAAUUGCCGCUCCGUAAGCUGAAAAAAGAAAAAAAAGAAGAAGUCUCGGUGAAAAAUCGAGGUCGAAGGGAACAAAGAGAAUGGCCUUUGUUCUUGCCCAUUUUUAUUUCUCUUCUCCCCGGGGAAGAGAAGAGAGAAAUUCUUGCUCCGAUAUCUUAUCGAAAAAAAGGGGAAGGAUCUCGUUGUUUACCUGACGUAUCAGACGCCUCCGUGCCAUUAGCAACGACGAUUUACGGAAGAAAAUCGACAAUGUGGCUGCCACGAUUCCAGAUUUAUAGAGAUUUCGAGACGUGUCAACCACGUGCUCGACGUUCAUCUCGAUGCUUUUUUUUUUUGAAAGUUCGACUCGAGUUGAUACAAUUUAAAGAUUGUAAAUCUAGUUCUCUUUUAAUAUGAUAUGCAAUUUUUGUAGAUCAAUGAUUCAAGAAACAAUGUUGUCAUUAACAGAAGUGCUUGGAGAAAAAAAUUUAAGAAUUUUAACGCGAUUGAAUUGGAUCAGGAUGAUUCAGGAUAUAUUGUUGUUCUCAUUGUAUAACUCUUCGAAAGAACUUUUAAUUAUUAAAUCAGAAAAUCGAAUGAGGAUAUUAUAAAUGAUUUUUCAGAAAAGAUUAAUGUGAAAAGAUUUCCUAAAAGGAUUCAAGAAUCGAUAUUGUCAAUAUGAUUUGUAUUUAAAAAAACGAUAAGAAUUCUUGGUUAAACUCAUCUCGAAGAAAGUAUCAAAAUAUAAUUUCUUGAAAAAUACUUAACGCGUUUUAAUAAUUGCAUUGUAUCGUAACAUUGUUUUGACUAGCGUUGUUGACAGAAUCUUUUCGGCGCUAAAUAUGAACGAAAAAGUGAAAACGGAAUGCUCGAUUCUGCAAAAAAUUAUCUUCGUUUGAUCAAUAAAUUCUUAACAUUUGCGUACACAUAUCCAUGGGCCGUCGGCGAUCCACGAAACGCGUUAAAAUUCAAAAAGCCGUGUUCCCACGUGACACACGCCACUAAGAGACCUCUCAGGAAUCGAAAUUAACGCCUGCCUCGCCCUCAUGAAUAAAAAUCGUUGGUUAAACGUUGUCCUGGGCAAUUAUUAUUAUUAUUAUUUUUUUUUUUCUUAAAUUCUUUUUCCACGUCCAAUACUCGACAAAUAAAGACGAAACAAUCGAAUCAUUUACGAUUAUUAAAUUUCAAGAAAUAACAGCCAAUCCAAAAUUUACAUAACCGAUAUAUUAUCUCUUAUUCGUAGAACACUAUCAGAAAGUACAAUAAAAUUGAUACAAAAUUUCUACGAUACAUUUCUUCCUCUCUCUAACCUCAACCCAAUCUAAAUCUAAAAACUACGCACAGUGCGCUAAGAAUUCCAAAAUGAUAAACAAUUAUUUUCAAUAUUUUAUAUAUCCCUAAAUUUAAAACCGUUAUAAUUUUUCUUCGUUCAUCGAAUAUUAAAAAAAAAAAAUACAAGAAAAGUUCGGUGGCGCCUCGAAGUUUAACCAAAACCUCACCCUCGUGCAUAUGUACGCGUAUGUGCAUGUAUGUAAUCGGUUUCAGUGACCUCAGUGUGUGCUCCUUCUGGUCAUAUCCCAGUUCUUCGUCCUAGGACCACGGUUGGAUCCUAUCUUGCUCGUAACUUGACGGCAAUCGAUAGUUCCCUUCGAAAGAGAGAGAGAGAGAGAGAGAAAGAGAGAGAGCCAGAGCUCCUCCCUCUCGAGUUCCGUGUAGACCCGUUUUCGACGUACUUUCCUGGUGGGUGCAGGUGAUAUGCGGUACCAGUGGCUCGCGUUUGGAAGGGACGAUCGCUUGAACGGUGUGCCCGACACGGAAUCGAUCGCGUUGCAACCCGGCCAACCCGCCGAUCUUCGAUGAUCCCAGGAUGAUGACGAUGACGAUCGUGUUGGGGUACGCGUCCGGAACGAGAGGUUCGAUCGCGAGAGAUACAUACGAAACAGCUGGUUGGAGAUCAGGUAGAAUAGGACGAUAGACUUCGAUUCCUCCCGGGAUUUGAAUCGUGGGAGGAAGACGAGGACACGUGGCGAUUAUCAAAUCAUCGUGAAACAAGAGAGGAAGAGAAAUUCGACGAGACGAUAUUUGAGAAAAAUAUACGCGUGAUAUACACAUCCGGAUGAAACUCUCGCGGAGCGAGCCGGAAGAGAAAAAAGAAGAAAGGGAGAGGGGGGGGGAAGGGAAGGGAAGGGGGGAGAAAAGAAAUAUCGAAUUUACUUUACGCAAGCCGCUGAAAUAAUUAUUAGCAAGAAAGGGGGAAAAGAAGAGAAGGAGGGUGGAAGAGGACGGAGAAAGCAGGAAAGCUGGCGUCCCAAUCGCGCGAGGGCAGCUCGCGCGGGACUCGGACCCGUCGACGGACCACCACCAAUGGCGGCUCGUUGUCAAGUCGAGGUAGCGCCACGGGGAUGCAAUGCGGCCUGUGCGCCGUGGUCGCUGGCCUCUUCAGGCGAGCGAUGUGCAUCGCGGGCAGCAGACGCGGCUCCGGCGAGUCUUGCUACCAGGAGAUCACCCCGGAGACCCAGACGCGGCGACACUCGCAACUAGCGCCCAUCGAAACCGGGCUGAAGGCUGCCGAGAUAGCGGAACACGUUAAAGAGGCUGUUGAGACGCAGGAGAGAAGAAGUGCGGAGAUAACGGUGGACAGUGGAGAGGAGAAUGUGUUCGUCCGCAUUUCCGAGAGCGCCGCGCUGCCAACAUCCGGCGUGUCGGCCACGUUGGCGGAAGUCCGCGAUGAACCAAGGACGGAACCCGCGUUCAGACGUUUGUCAGAGGUCGACCGUAUCCUUCUCGAGAGUUUGGAUAUCGGCCGCUCGAGACCGAGGCCGACCGGUCGAUUCCUGACAAUGCACAAGAGAAGGCGUAAGAGGCUUACCACGAGAUCCUUAACCGAGGAGCCUGGCAUCCUGGACGAUAUUUUCCAUGGUCUGGUCCAGUGUGUAUUACAAAAGGCCGGAAACUGGCGGUUUAAUGCAUUUACACUGGAAACGGUAACAGGAGGACGUUCGCUGCCAGUAUUGUGCGUCCAUCUUUUUCAUUGGUACGGUCUUCUACAAUACUUCAAUCUGGAUGUGGUUACUGUAUGGAAAUUAUUCGCCUUUAUCGAGGAGGGUUAUCACAGUACAAAUCCUUACCACAACAGUAUACACGCGACCGACGUGACUCAAGCGAUGCAUUGCUUCCUCCAAGAAGAAAAAAUCAGAACGCACUUAACCAACUUGGAGAUUAUGGCUUCGCUGAUUGCCGCGGUGACGCACGAUCUGGAUCAUCCGGGCGUCAAUCAACCGUUUCUAGUUGCCACGAGCAACCACUUGGCAGCUCUCUAUCAAAACACAUCGGUACUCGAGAAUCAUCACUGGAGGUCGGCGAUAGGUUGCCUUCUUGAGAGUGGAGUUUCCGAUCAGUUACCGGCACACGUGAGGCCAGAACUUCAACGACAUAUAAGUUCAUUGAUUUUGGCCACAGACAUCACUAGGCAGCAAGAAUUUCUCAUUCGAUUCAAACACUAUUUGGAUGAGAAUCUGUUGGAGAUGAAACGUGCGGACGACCGGCAUUUCAUUCUACAAAUAGCCCUGAAAUGCGCUGAUAUAUCGAACCCUUGCAGACCUUGGGACAUUUCGCAGAAAUGGUCGCACAAAGUAUGUGAAGAAUUCUUUCGACAAGGCGAUUACGAACGACGUUUGAACCUUCCAGUGACACCAUUAUGUGAUCGACAUACCACUAGCAUACCAAAGAUACAGGCUGGAUUCUUUAAAUUUGUCGUGACGCCUUUAUACGAGGAAUGGCACCGUUUCCUAGGCGAUGGUCUUAGUGUUUCACUAAUGGAACACCUGCGAGCCAAUCAAAAGAAAUGGGAAACGUUAAUUCUCCAAGAAACUGCAAAGGAUAUAGAAACGGAAAUCUCGGAAUUGGAAGAGACAGAAUUGGAAGAUGCCAUCAGUACUGCAGAAGAUCCAGCUGCCGAGGAGGAUACAGAAAGUAUUGAUUUAUUGAUACCAGCUGCAUAUGUUCAUUCCUCUAAAAUGCAAAGUUUACCAGCGCGAAUUGGUCUGGAACGCGUUGGAAGACGGCAUUCCGUGCCAUUAAGUAUCACGAAACCUAUGACACUUUUGCCACGAAGUAACGUGAGACGUGAAAGUCUACCGAGUGAACAAAGUAAAUCGAGGAAUCUUGUGUGGAAACUCGACGAACAAAAUCUUUUAGAUCCAAAUUCAUUGUCUUUAUUGUCGUCCAAAACUAGUAUAGAACUUUCUCCGAGCGGAAGUAAUACAGGGGAAAGACCGGUCAGUGCUGAAAGUCUUUUGCCAGAACCUAGCAUAGCUAGUAUCACUAACAGUACUGAAGCGUCAAGAUUAAGUACGGUAUUGCAAUCGGAUGAUCAAAAGUCAAAUACGCAAACAAAACAAUUAACAAGACAACAGACUUUCCCUCCAUUGCAACCGUAUAUUAGAGUAAGAUAUCUAUCCACGACCGCAGAGAUGUCGCAAUGUUAUUCCCAAAUAUUAUUAGAAGCAGAUAGUGCAUCAGCAUCCUCUUCAUGUUCGAUGAAAGAAAAAUCGUGUUCGGAUGGUCAUUGUGAUAUUUCUCCUACAAAGGAAAUAGAGUCUAAUAACAUUAUAAUGUCGAAAGAAAUAGAUUUAAAUAAGAGACGAAGCUCCUUAAUUCCGGAGACGUUUAGACAAAAAACAGAACCAGUUGUUGAAUAUCCACGCCGUCACUCGGUUCAAACGAUUCGUAUCGAAGAUGUCAACUUUAAAAAUCGUUAUAAGCGACCGACGUCUGCUCAAGGAACAGAUUUCACACAAGUUUUUUACACAUCGUUGACCAAUUCACGUACCGAUAAAGAGAGAGGUAUUGAAGAGGAAUCCAAAUUGAGCGAUAUUUCCAUCUCGAAGAUAAAAUUGGAAAGUGAAAGAUCGAUAAACGAACAACGGACUACUAUGGUAACAUUAAAUAAGUCUGAACAGUGUGGUUCGAUAGCGAUUAUUGCAAAAUCGAAGUGCACCAACUCCGAAUUACGAAGAUACUCAACUCCUGUGCCAGAAACUAAGACAAUAAUGACUGAUGCUGGUGGUAGACGAUUUACCGCGAUACCAGUGUCAUCCGAACUUAGCACGCAUAAAGUGUUCUUCAUCGGUAGCCCACCAGACUCACCACCCCUUGUUCAAAGCGUAUCUACGUCAAGUGAAAGUGGUAACGAUUUACGAAAAGGAGAUAUGAAUAACGAAAUUGUUUCUACUUGUAACAAACGAGAUUCAGAUCCUGCGAAAGAAAGGAGUUCGAAAGUAGCCAAAUUAAGUCUGGAUAUGCAAAUGAAGGAGAACGUCGAUCCACGAGCAGUAGAAGAUACAAAAGGAAUUGCUUUAUCCAGAAAGGGAAGUCAGUCAUGGACUAGACGACGUGGAUCUGCUCCAGUUGGUCUUUUAUCUAGAUUGGAUGAUAUCACAGUACCAUCUAUAACAACUAGAAUUGAUCACACUUCCAGACGCGGUUCCGUACCAAAUGACAUUACUAGACAACAAAAUGGUGGUUUUAAUAGAUUAGCAUUAGGACCUCGAGAGGGUAAUGUUGCAGCACCUCGAAGAGCAAGUCUUCCACAAGAAACUGCUCUUGGAAAUCUUCUUGGCAAUAUUUUGUCUUUAACCAAUGAACGAGAGAAUCUCCCAAUAAAUAAUAACAAUAAUAAUAACAAUACUGGAAGUAGCAACAAUAACGGAAUAACAAGAAUAAUUGAUAGCACUGGCCCUGGCAUGCCGUCGCCGCGGCGAGGUUCUGUGCCGGCAGAUAUAUCUGAAUUACGUCGUGAUAUGUUCAAUAGGAGUAGCAUAAACGGUAAGCCUCGUAAUCGGAAAAAAAUAUUGAAGAGAAGGAGUUCUGGAGGACCAGAAAUGUUUUCUGGAGGAUCCACAGAUGGAAACGAUAAUGGCACAUGGCUUAAAUGGAAGAAAGAACUAGGAAAAAAGGAUUCAAUUCCUGAACCACUCGUCAAGCGAAGAGGUUCCCUGCCCAUAGAGAUGGUGGCCAUUUCUCAUGCUGGUCGGUACAAUCAUAGAUAAAGGAGGAUGUCAUUAAACACAAGCCGGUACCAUUGCGUUCUCCAUUAAUAUUUUUACGAGAAAUUGAAAUUUCUAGAAUUUUUAUAAAUUAAACAUUUGAAUUCGUUACCAGCAUUUUAAUAGAAAUUCUAGCAAUUGAUGACAUAAGGUGUAAAUAUCAGCUUUCUGAAGCCGAUCAGGAUCAGGAAUACGAAGAUCCAGCUUAUGGAGACUUUAGCAUGCAGUAGAAACAAAUGGACCGUCCGUGUUAUCAGCGGUUGACAUUAGAUCAUCGAAUACUACCGUACUGGCAGUCUUUCCUUACAACGUUAACAGCAACAGCGAUGAUUGACUUCCAUUUCUGGUUUAAACUGGAACAUUGCAAAACUGGAACUCUUCUAACCAACUAUAAUUGUGGGCAAGUGAAUUUUGUAAAAUUAAUCGAGAUUUCUAUAAUAAUAUUUGCAAUAAAAAACAAAGAAAAAUGUUCGCAGCGAUUUAUUCAAUGAUCGCUAGUAAUAAUUUUAUUGCCGCAAAUAUUACAUAUAUUAACGCCUAUAAUAAACAAAGUAAAAAAUCUAUUCUAACACAAAUGGAUAUACUUAUGUAUAUCUUUGAAUAAUGAAAAGAAUACAAAUUCAAGAUUGGCGAAUUGUAAUAUAAAAUUUUGCGACAGGGUUAAAUAAUUGCGAAAGAAGAAUGAAAAAAUUAUUCUUCUUCGUCAUAUGUUUGUGUGGAAUUAGUAAAACAAAGUAUUUACACAUAUUAGUUAUGUGAGUUCUAUAUCCAUUUGUGCCAUACACAAAUGUUGUUGAAAACGAGAUACAGUCAAACACAGGGUUCAAUAUGACGAUUUUAAUAAUUAAAAUGCCUAGGUUCGGAGAAGGAAAAAAGACUGGUAGACUCACCACUAUAAAAUUAGACACUUUAAAAGUGGCACAUAUAUUGAUUGAAAUGUAAUGAAAUUUGCUCAUAGUUAAGGAAAUUAACAUUUUUGAAAAUAAUUGGAACAAAAUGACAUUUAUUUUUAUUUAGUUAAUCAUUUUUAGCAUAUGUCAUCCCAUUAAAUAUUAAAUACAUUUUUGCACCUAUCUCAAAAUAUAAUUUUUUAUUUUUUGUUAAUGAUAUUUCUUAAUUAAUGAUAAAACACAAAAGAAAUUGAAUUUAUUAUUAAAUCAUAAUAAUAAAGACAUUUAUUGUUAAAAUCCAAUAAGAGAAAGUAAUGGUUAUUGAUAAAAAUAAAUAUAUACUCAAUAUCAGAUAUAGUUUUCUUUGAACUCUAACAAAAAUCAACAUAGACAUUCCAUUAAAACAGAUAGCGUGCAGUGCAUAACAUGAAUGAAAAUUAAUCAUGAUAAAGUUGUAAUUAUCGCUAUUUAUCAUCAUUCAUUAUACUAUCAUAAUCAUAAUUAUCACUAUUGUCAUCAUCGUUGUUGUUAUAGUUAUAAAUGAAAUCUUAAUGACCGUUCAAAUAGAUAGAUAUUGUAAACUUAGGAAAUAAUAAUAUAUGCGUUUAAUCUCAAGUUAAUUAGUUAGUGAAUUGCGUGAAAUUAUAACUAUGAUUGUUUAUUACCAAUGAAAACUAAAGAUGGUUAUGAUGAGUAGGUUUACGGUACGUGAACCGAGAAAAAUCAAAAGCCACAAAAUUCGUUCAUAUUACAUCUUAGAAUAUUAAUUCAGUAAAAAGCGUUUAAUUAAUAAGUUUUAGUUUUAUAAAGUACAAUUAUUAAACUGCCUGUGCACAAACGGAUUCAACCGUUAAUUUGUUUUAUUAUAAAACUUCUGUUACUAUAAGAUUAUUAUAUAAAACGUAAUCCUAAAUAGCGUUUUAAAUUAUGUUUUUUAGAGAAUAAGAAAAAUAAUAAUUUAUAUCACGUACUGUUAUAACCUAUCGUCCCUCUAACUAUCAGAAAGUAAAAAAUUAUUAUUAAGCCAUUGCAGUUCAAUAAUAAUAUAUACUGAAUCUAAGUUUAUAACUAAUCAAAGUAAUAAUUGAUAUCUGUAUUGAUGUAAUAUAAAUAGGUCACAUCCCAAGCAAAAUAUUACAAAGCUUAGCAAAUUUUCCCUGAUAAAAUCCAGAUCUUCUCAGUGCAGGAACUCAGAGCUUUAUGUGUAUUUCACUUAAAAUGACCAGAAAACAAAGGUGAAACAAAAAAUCGCCUUAAAUAGAUUUCAAAUCUUUAAACAUGAAACAUGAAAAUGAUUCUUAAGUUUUCCUAUUUGUAAUUAUGCAGAAGUAUUGCAUAAAUGACUUGUUGUAUAAGUGUAUUGACAAUUAAGUUAGCAUAAAACUACUAGUCUUUCUAACUCUUAAUAUAAUUUGUAUAUAAAUAUGAAAUAUAUAUAUAUAUAUAUAUAUAUAUAUAUAUUAUUUGACAAAAAAAAUGCACAGAAAACGCCAAGGAACAACACAUUGAUAAUAGAUAUUGAAAAAUUUCAGUGAAAAAUUUAUUUAUUUAUACUUCUUGAAAUACUUAACUUUACAGACAGACCAAUACAAAUGGGACUAAACAAAAUCUCUUUGUGAAAAUGAUAAUUAACCUAGCUUCUGAAUUAAAUUUGAAUUCAAUAUUAUACAUGA